CCUACGGUGGCAGCAGUGAGGAAUAUUGGUCAAUGGGCGCGAGCCUGAACCAGCCAAGUAGCGUGAAGGAUGACUGCCCUACGGGUUGUAAACUUCUUUUAUAAAGGAAUAAAGUGAGGCACGUGUGCCUUUUUGUAUGUACUUUAUGAAUAAGGAUCGGCUAACUCCGUGCCAGCAGCCGCGGUAAUACGGAGGAUCCGAGCGUUAUCCGGAUUUAUUGGGUUUAAAGGGAGCGUAGAUGGGUUGUUAAGUCAGUUGUGAAAGUUUGCGGCUCAACCGUAAAAUUGCAAUUGAUACUGGCAGUCUUGAGUACAGUAGAGGUAGGCGGAAUUCCCGGUGUAGCGGUGGAAUGCGUAGAGAUCGGGAGGAACACCAGUGGCGAAGGCGACCUGCUGGGCUCUAACUGACGCUGAGGCACGAAAGCGUGGGUAGCAAACAGGAUUAGAUACCCCUGUAGUC
rnacentral:rRNA from 1 species